CUCUUUUUGUAUUUAAUAAAAAGUUUAACCUGCCCAUUGAAAAAUUUUAAAAGGCUGCGGUAUUUUGACCGUACAAAGGUAGCAUAAUCAUUAGUUUUUUAAUUGAAAACUUGUAUGAAUGGUUGAAUGAAAUAUUGACUGUUUUAAUUAAAAAUUUUGAAUUUUACUUUUUAAUUAAAAGGUUAAAAUAAUAUUAAAAGACGAGAAGACCCUAUAGAGUUUUAUAUCUUUAAUUUUAUAAUUAAAUAAGCUUAUUAAUUAUUAUAUUAUUAAAAGUAUUUUAUUGGGGUGAUAAUAAAAUUUAAUAAACUUUUAUUUAAAAUAAAUACAUUAAUAUAUGAAAUUUUGAUCCAUUAUUAAUGAUUAAAAAAUUAAAUUACCUUAGGGAUAACAGCGUAAUUUUUUUUUAAGUUCAUAUUAAUAAAAAUUUUUGCGACCUCGAUGUUGGAUUAAGAUUUAAUUUUAGGUGCAGAAGUUUAAAUUUUAAGUCUGUUCGACUUUUAAAUUCUU
rnacentral:rRNA from 1 species